AUUGAACGCUGGCGGCAGGCUUAACACAUGCAAGUCGAGCGGAGAGAGGUAGCUUGCUACCGAUCUUAGCGGCGGACGGGUGAGUAAUGCUUAGGAAUCUGCCUAUUAGUGGGGGACAACAUUUCGAAAGGAAUGCUAAUACCGCAUACGUCAUACGGGAGAAAGCAGUGGAUCUUCGGACCUUGCGCUAAUAGAUGAGCCUAAGUCGGAUUAGCUAGUUGUUGGGGUAAAGGCCUACCAAGGCGACGAUCUGUAGCGGGUCUGAGAGGAUGAUACGCCCCACUGGGACUGAGACACGGCCCAGACUCCUACGGGAGGCAGCAGUGGGGAAUAUUGGACAAUGGGCGCAAGCCUGAUCCAGCCAUGCCGCGUGUGUGAAGAAGGCCUUAUGGUUGUAAAGCACUUUAAGCGAGGAGGAGGCUACUGAAGUUAAUACCUUCAGAUAGUGGACGUUACUCGCAGAAUAAGCACCGGCUAACUCUGUGCCAGCCGCCGCAGUAACAC
rnacentral:rRNA from 1 species